rnacentral:rRNA from 1 species
UACGUAGGGUGCGAGCGUUGUCCGGAAUUACUGGGCGUAAAGAGUUCGUAGGCGGUUUGUCGCGUCGUUCGUGAAAACUUGGGGCUUAACUCCAAGCGUGCGGGCGAUACGGGCAGACUUGAGUACUACAGGGGAGACUGGAAUUCCUGGUGUAGCGGUGAAGUGCGCAGAUAUCAGGAGGAACACCGGUGGCGAAGGCGGGUCUCUGGGUAGUAACUGACGCUGAGGAACGAAAGCGUGGGUAGCGAACAGG